AUGUCUUCUGGGUUCGGGUUCGAGACUCACCUUAUGAAGGAGAAGGCACCGACAGUGGAGGCAAGAACUGAUUAUGCUCGAGCUGGGCCAGCUACUGUAAUGCAAAUGCAAUUUCCAAAGCCGAAUCCAGAAUUUGCACUGGUGGAGACUAGUCCACCGGUGGCUGCACGCAUGCGAUACAGAGCAGGGGACAAGACGGCGAGUACUUAUGAUUUGGUGGAACAGAUGCGUUACUUGUAUGUGAAUGUGGUGAAGGCUAGAGAUCUUCCUGUUAUGGAUGUUUCUGGGAGUCUUGAUCCAUAUGUGGAAGUGAAGCUUGGGAAUUAUAAAGGAAGGACUAAACACUUGCAGAAGAAUCAGAACCCAGUGUGGAAUCAAAUUUUUGCUUUCUCAAAGGAUAGAAUACAGGCCAAUAUUCUUGAAGUUACAGUGAAGGACAAGGAUCUUGUCAAGGAUGAUUUUGUGGGCAGAGUUUUUUUUGAUCUAUUAGAAGUCCCUCUUCGUGUCCCGCCAGAUAGUCCACUGGCUCCUCAAUGGUAUAAAUUGGUGGACAAGAAGGGUGAUAAGACCAGUAAGGGGGAAAUUAUGCUCGCAGUUUGGAUGGGAACACAGGCUGAUGAAGCAUUUCCUGAGGCAUGGCACAGCGAUGCUCAUGAUAUUGGUCAAACAAACCUGAACAAUACAAGAUCCAAGGUAUAUUUUACGCCGAAAUUGUAUUACCCUUCGAGUUCAUGUCAUUGAAGCUCAGGAUCUUUUCCCCUCGGAAAAGGGUCGAAUGCCAGAUGCUUAUGUGAAGGUUCAACUUGGGGGUCAGCUAAGGAUCACUAAACCUCUGCGAACCAUCAAUCCAGUUUGGAAUGAAGAGUUCAUGUUUGUGGCGUCUGAGCCUCUUGAUGAUUUGAUAAUUGUGUCUGUUGAGGACAGGGUUGGACCUGGUAAGGAUGAGAACAUGGGAAAGGUUUAUAUACCAGUUAGAGACGUCCCACCAAGAAGAGACCCUAAACUCCCGGAUCCUCGCUGGUGCAAUCUCUUAAAGCCUUCACAAGCAGAGGAAGGCGAGAAGAAGAAAGAAAAAUUCUCGAGUAAGAUUCUACUGUGUCUCUAUUUAGACACAGGUUAUCAUGUUCUUGAUGAGUCUACACAUUUUAGCAGUGAUCUCCAGCCAUCGAACAAGUUCCUGAGGAAGGAAAGAAUUGGAAUUCUUGAACUUGGGAUUCUAAGUGCAAGAAAUUUGCUGCCCCUGAAGAGCAAGGAUGGUAGGACUACUGACGCAUACUGCGUGGCUAAGUACGGCAACAAGUGGGUUCGAACCAGAACGCUUCUUGAUAACCUGCAUCCUCGUUGGAAUGAGCAGUAUACUUGGGAUGUUCAUGAUCCUUGCACUGUGAUCACCAUUGGUGUUUUUGACAAUUGCCACAUUAAUGGAAGCAAAGAGGAUGCAAGGGAUCAGAGAAUUGGGAAGGUGAGAAUUCGUCUUUCGACUUUAGAAAAUGAUCGUAUAUAUACACAUUACUAUCCUCUGCUAGUCCUUCAUCCUUCUGGAUUAAAGAAACAUGGAGAAAUUCAAUUGGCAUUGAGGUUUACCUGCACAGCUUGGGUUAAUAUGAUUACUCAAUAUGGCAAGCCGUUGCUUCCCAAAAUGCACUAUCUUCAACCAAUACCUGUUAUGCUCAUUGAUUGGCUUCGCCACCAAGCAAUACGGAUAAUAGCGGCAAGACUAGGAAGAGCAGAGCCCCCGCUUAGACCUGAAAUUGUGGAGUAUAUGUUGGAUAAGGAUCACAAUAUGUGGAGUUUGAGAAGAAGCAAAGCAAAUUUCGGCCGCAUAAUGAAACUCCUUACAGGGGUUGCAGCUGUCUGUAAAUGGUUCAAUGACAUUUGCACAUGGAGAAAUCCAGUAACAACUUGUCUGGUUUAUGUAGUGUUCUUGAUGCUGGUUUGCUAUCCAGAGUUGAUACUUCCCACAAUCUUCCU
rnacentral:misc_RNA from 1 species